rnacentral:lncRNA from 1 species
AAACAUCUCUCUCUCUCUCUCUCUCUCUCUCUCUCUCUCUCUCUCACACACACACACACACACACACAUCUAAUAUCAGAACCGUUAAAGAUUAUGAAAUAGAGAGAUAUUUCAAGCUUCUAUAUAUCAGCCAUGCAUUGCAUUCUGAGACCAAAAGGGCGUCUCACAAAAUCACAAGAGAGAGAAAAAGGAGCACAAAAGGCGCAAUAAAUAACAAAAGUGGAAAUGGAAAUUGAUUCCAGCAGACAACUGGAGGGUAAACACCAAAAAAAUGGAGAUUCGGAGUCUACUGAAAUGAGCAGAAAAGAGGUGAUUGAAGUGGUGUGUACGUACAAACAUCUCUCUCUCUCUCUCUCUCUCUCUCACACACACACACACACACACACAUAUCUUAUAUCAGAACUGUUCAAGAUUAAAUCAUUGUGGUUAUGAGUAUUGAAUGUAAUAGGGGUAUCUUUGUCCUUUUUUCAUAAACAUUAGGACAUUUCUAUAAUAUUAUCAUCCCGUUAUUCUAAAUACAGUUUAAGAGGUGUACGUGGGCUAGGCAAUUAGUCUACGCACCUCUCUCUUUCUUCUCUUUUGUCUUUUCUCUCCCCUCUUUUAUUUUCCUCUUCUUUCCCUCUCACUCUAGUUUUCACAGUUCAUAGAACUGUUCAUAAUACUAUUUACAGUACUGUUCACAUGGUAUCAGAGCAGAUCUGAAUUGAUCUUCUCCUUAACUUAAAACUCCUCAAACAAAAAGGACUGGUGGAGGAGGAAAACCCUAAUCUCGUUAGGUGCUGAUCUCGUCUGAAGCAAUAGGAGUCCUAUAGAGGAUCAUCAAAGCCUGAAUGAUAAGUUUUAUCUCCGUAAGUGAUUGUAAGAAUUGUUAUAUGUGCAGUCCUUUGCCUUGCAAACUAUUGUUUUUGUGAUUCAAUGAAUUUAUAAAGUUCAAUUC